ensembl:snRNA U6 U6 spliceosomal RNA
GUGCUCACUGAGGCAGCACAUGUACGAAAGUUGGAAGAAUACAAAGAAGAUUAGCAUGGCCCCUGUGGAAGGAUGACACACAAGUUUGUGAAGCAUUCCACAUUUAU